AGCCCGCUGCGAUAACAUCUACGUGAAUAACCAAUAAAAUGCAAAUAGAUCUUCUCAUUCACAAGAAACUUCCAUGGUAACGGAAAACCAAAAGUAACUUAUACAUUAAAGGAGGUCUUCCUUCCCCUUCCGAAAAAAAGUUCUUUUGUAUGCAGUGGCUUUGUAAUAUGAAAAAAGGAAAGAAAUAUUAAAUUCUGUCAAAUUAAGGAUUUCCGCUGAUGUCUUGCUUUUGGUCCACUGGUGCUGCACCGCAGUUUCUUCAGUAAUACUUGCUGUUGAAGUUCAUUAGGUUUUGUUUAUUUUAGUCAUGCUCUAGAGCUUGAAAUGGUGUUGUCAUGAGUGAUCGGUGUCUUGUCUCAAAAUUCUGGAAUCCCCCAGAAAGAGAGUGCAAACAAGCAUAAAAAAAUCUGAAGACGAUUAUAGGGAAACCCAGAAAGCCAUGAAAGAUGACCUCGAAAUAUCUCGUACAGGAGAAGACUUGUGUGCAGUUUGAUGCAAAAUUCUGCUAUUUCAUUUUAGUGUUUAAAUGGUACCACUUUUUUUCCUUCAUGGAACUCUUUAAUAAAAUUUGUGUGUUUUUAAUAAAGAAAAAUCGUUUUGCAGAGCAAUAUCAAGAGAUUAAUCCGUAAACUUUGGUGGAUUUAAAGGAUUGUAUACUGAGUGAGAUUGUAAACAUCCCUCAUGCCAUGUUGCGUUCAGCGGUAUUCUCCCUCUCUCCCAAUGCAAUGCAUACUUGCCUGUGAUG